ACCUACGGGGCGCAGCAGUGGGGGAUAUUGGACAAUGGGGGGAACCCUGAUCCAGCGACGCCGCGUGAGUGAAGAAGUAUUUCGGUAUGUAAAGCUCUGUCAGCAGGGAAGAAAGAAAUGACGGUACCUGACCAAGAAGCCCCGGCUAACUACGUGCCAGCAGCCGCGGUAAUACGUAGGGGGCAAGCGUUAUCCGGAAUUACUGGGUGUAAAGGGAGCGUAGACGGUUAAGUAAGUCUGGAGUGAAAACCCGGGGCCCAACCCCGGGAGUGCAUUUGAAACUGUCUGGCUAGAGUGCAGGAGAG
rnacentral:rRNA from 1 species